UACAGAGGGUGCAAGCGUUAAUCGGAAUUACUGGGCGUAAAGCGUGCGUAGACGGUUACAUAAGUCGGGUGUGAAAGCCCCGGGCUCAACCUGGGAAUUGCAUUCGAGACUGCGUAGCUAGGGUGCGGAAGAGGGAAGCGGAAUUUCCGGUGUAGCGGUGAAAUGCGUAGAUAGUCGGAAGGAACACCAGUGGCGAAAGCGGCUCCUGGUCCAGCACCGACGUUCAGGCACGAAAGCCAGGGGAGCAAACGGG
rnacentral:rRNA from 1 species